UCCCUGGUAGUACAGUGGAAAGUACGUCCAAUUUAACGAUUUAUGGUGGAAGACCGAGGUUCGAUUCCUAGCCGGGGAG
rnacentral:tRNA from 1 species